rnacentral:siRNA from 1 species
CUGCGCCUUUGUGUCCAUGCUCCG